CGUACACCUGUAAUAAUAAAAAUUAAUUAAUUAGUGACAAAAUAUAAGUGUCAUUAUUAAACUUUAUCUUUUAUAAAAGUUAUAAAUAGAUUUUAAAACGGUCAGUGAAACAGUGGAAAGUAUACGAUAAAUCAAAUUAUCUUCUGUCGCAACUCUUAUCAUCGAUUGUGUACCCCUUUUUAGUUGGUGCGCUUGCGCAAUACGACUACAUUUAAGGCGAAUUAAUAGUCUUGGACGUAGUCAUUGCUGGGAGUUGUUCGAAGUUUUGAUGUAUCGUAUGUUUUAUAGUUAAGUCGUUAUGGGAAGUUUAAUGACAAGAAUCGAAUCUAUAAUUUUACCUAUUAGAAAUUUUCCCGUGUUGACAUAUUGGUUUCGAAGGGAAAGUGCUGCCGAAAUCGAAGAACGGGUAAUUUUUUACUGUCUUAUUCAUCUUGCCUUUAUUGAUAUGACAACUAUUUUUAAAACUGCGAAAUGCGAAAUUUAUAUUUACGAUUGUUUUUUUUUUUUUUUACUUCGUGUACUUAAGCAUAAUAAAUUAGUUAUAAUUAAUUCAUUAAUAGAUUAUUAGUUUCAAUUCACUUGAAAUUAUUGUAUGUAC
rnacentral:lncRNA from 1 species